UAGACAUCUUUUAGAUAUCUUCUAGAAAUAUCUUGAAGAUAUAUUUUUAGAAAUGUUUUAGACGUCUUUUAGACUUUUUAGGCCCGUUCCCACAGUGGCUAGUUAGCUUAACCAGUUGUUAAGUAGCGAUACCAACCACUGACACAAAAUUCGUUUCAUCCUCAUUAUUACGAUACCUCAUCGCAUAAUAAAAAUGGAUAUAAAAAUAAACCGUAUACGGCAUCAAAUUUUUGUCAAGCUGAAAAACUAUAGCACUUGUAUCAUUAAUAAAAAAAUACAAAUUGAUAAUAGAAAAUAAGCGGACUGAUGCUGUGAGUGUUAAAGAAAAAGAAGAGGCUUGGCUAAAGAUAUUGGACGAGUAUAAUCAGCAAAGCAACUGUCGCCCUCGCGAAUUAGGAAACAUAAAAAAUUUUUGGAUUAAUGCUAAAAAGGACACCAAGAAGUUGUAUGCAAAAAAUAAAAGGGAAAUAUAUCUUACUGGUGGUGGAUCUUCAAAUAUUGUGAGUGAUGUUGUGGCCGAUGCCGUUUAUGAAAUAAUUGGGCCAUCCAUCGAUGGACUGAUCA